UACGGGGGGGGCAAGCGUUGUUCGGAAUUACUGGGCGUAAAGGGCGCGUAGGCGGCUUGGUAAGUCAGGUGUGAAAGCCCGGAGCUCAACUCCGGAAUGUCAUUUGAUACUAUUAAGCUAGAGUGUGGAAGGGGCAGUUGGAAUUCCUGGUGUAGCGGUGAAAUGCGUAGAUAUCAGGAAGAACACCUGUGGCGAAGGCGGACUGCUAGGCCAACACUGACGCUGAGGCGCGAAAGCUAGGGGAG
rnacentral:rRNA from 1 species